rnacentral:rRNA from 1 species
GAGUUUGAUCCUGGCUCAGAGUGAACGCUGGCGGUAGGCCUAACACAUGCAAGUCGAACGGCAGCACAGCAGUAGCAAUACUGUGGGUGGCGAGUGGCGGACGGGUGAGGAAUACAUCGGAAUCUACUCUGUCGUGGGGGAUAACGUAGGGAAACUUACGCUAAUACCGCAUACGACCUACGGGUGAAAGUGGGGGACCGCAAGGCCUCACGCGAUUGAAUGAGCCGAUGUCGGAUUAGCUAGUUGGCGGGGUAAAGGCCCACCAAGGCGACGAUCCGUAGCUGGUCUGAGAGGAUGAUCAGCCACACUGGAACUGAGACACGGUCCAGACUCCUACGGGAGGCAGCAGUGGGGAAUAUUGGACAAUGGGCGCAAGCCUGAUCCAGCCAUACCGCGUGGGUGAAGAAGGCCUUCGGUUGUAAG